rnacentral:tRNA from 1 species
GGGGCAUUAGCGCAGCUGGGAGCGCGUUUGACUGGCAGUCAAGAGGUCAGGGGUUCGAUCCCCCUAUGCUCCA